GACGAACGCUGGCGGCGUGCCUAAUACAUGCAAGUAGAGCGCUGAAGGAUGGUACUUGUACUCACUGGAUGAGCAGCGAACGGGUGAGUAACGUGGGGGGAAUCUGCCUUUGAGCGGGGACAACAUUUGGAAACGAAUGUAAAUACCGAAUAAAAAAUUUAAACACAAGUAAUAAGUUAGAAAGAGGCAAUUGUACACCUCAAAGAGGAUCCCGCGUUGUAUUAGCUAGUUGGUGAGGUAAAGGCUCACCAAGGCGAUGAUACAUAGCCGACCUGAGAGGGUGAUCGGCCACAUUGGGACUGAGACACGGCCCAAACUCCUACGGGAGGCAGCAGUAGGGAAUCUUCGGCAAUGGACGGAAGUCUGACCGAGCAACGCCGCGUGAGUGAAGAAGGUUUUCGGAUCGUAAAACUCUGUUGGUAGAGAAGAACGAUGGUGAGAGUGGAAAGCUCAUCAAGUGACGGUAACUACCCAGAAAGGGACGGCUAACUACGUG
rnacentral:rRNA from 1 species